GGCCGCCUCCUCACUGGAGGGAUUCCUGGAGAAGCUGCAGUGUGGGGAUGCUCUAGAUCGAGUACUGCCCCCACUGUCUUUCCACCUUCUUCUUCUGCAGCGGUGGCAGCAGCAGCACUUAGCAGCGGCAACUUGAGGCUGCACCCUGGGCAAGCCCUUCAGGGUGGUGCUCAGCUGAGAUAGGGGCUCAGCGCCCCAAGGGGUGUGUGUAGGGUGGGGGCGGCCAGCUGGGACCAGCUGGUGGCCCUGGAAAACCUCCCACACACUCACACCCACACACCCCUUUUGUGUUGCAGGCUGCCCCUCCAAGAGCAGAGGCAGCGAGAGGACGUGUGCCUCGCGCGGGUCCGCGUGGGGAGAGCAGUGGGAACGGAGACCUGCACCACCUCCCGGUCCUCCCUCCAGGGAAAACAGGAAAAGGAGAACUAGCAAGAGCUUGAGUGACAAACGCCUGGAUUCAGAUUAGAAGACUGUUCAUUUGCCUAGUGCUUCGUUCCUGGAAAUUGCGCUGCAACUGCCUGAUUAAG